UCUCAUUUUUCUUUUUUUCCUUUUCGCGACAGUCUCUCUUUUUUUUAUCUCUCGACGAAAUGCGAUUGGCGAUGCGAUUAACCUCAAAUUCAUAGAAAUCAAUCGAUUCACCUUGAAUCAUUUGAUUUUUCCGGCUUAAACACGAGGGUUCUUGGUCUUUGACACCAAUUUUUGUGUGGAUUGGUUUCUAAUCCAUAUUCCUACCAAUUUGACGAUUUGCUUCUCAUGGCCAUCGAUUUCCGAUUGCAAUAACGAUGACGGAUGGUUCCUCUAAUGGCCUUAAAGGGGACUGUGAGGUCCACCGGCUAGCAAAUCGGACACGCAAAGUUCAUCUUCACAUCUUCGAUGUUCUGCAUGUCGUUGUGUUUAUCAACUAGUGUAAGAGUACAUUCUGCAGAGAGAGGUCCUUUGGGUGAAGAGAGGUGUGAAUGGGCAGAGUUUUCUUUGGUUCUUAUUCCAAAAGGUUGUUUGUCCAAGAGACAUGUGAAGCUGUCUUGUUGUCUACUGAAGGUGAAGCCGUCUUGUUAACUAGGGAAAAAGUAACCCGUGAAGUGGUAGCUUCUGAUGAAGAGUUCUUCUGUUAUAAAGUGACCUGUGAAUGUGGUGUUGUUUUUAUUGUCAAGUAGUAGGUCCUUUGUAAGAAAGUAACCAGUGAAUGUUGCGUUGUUUUUAUUGUCAAGUAGUAGGAUGUCUUUCUUGGUCAAUAUAUCGAACACAUAUUGUACUAUUUCCUCUCGUUCUCAUCACUUAUCUCCCUUUGUAUUCUCAUCCCUUCUCUCCCUUUAUAUUGAACACAUUGUAUUCAUC